rnacentral:lncRNA from 1 species
UAGUCGCUGUCUGGACAAAAACCCUAAUCCAGGGGUUUGCACCCUAUUUAAACACUCUAACUCGGCCUCCCUUGUCCUUAACACUUCCAGAGAGCUGUUGAGCGAAACCCUAGCCCCCCAUUGUUCUUGUGAGUGAUUCUUGGCUUUGUGAAUGAAGUUUGGAGCUUAGAAGAAGAAGGAGGAGGUUGAAGAAUGCGAGAAGGGGAAGUAGAUCCGAAAUCUACACUGUGAGAAGCUUCCAUUCAGGUAUAAAAGUUCCUACCUUGAUCACUAGUUCAUUAGAUCCCCUUUUUGUCCCUAAUUGAUGGUUUUCAAGCCGUAAAACCUCAAACUCCAUGUGGUUAUGCUCUAUGUUCUGAAAGGACUUCAGAUCUAGGCCUUAUGGACACCUUAGAAGUGUAAAGUCUUUGUGGUCAAAGUGAUGGAGGUCCCUAAUGAGUGUAUGACCUCAUAAAGAGCUUGGAUUUGCCUUUUGGAGCUCAUAGGGCCAUGCAUGCACGUAAAGUUUGCAACUUUACAUGAUAAGCAUACCCUAGGAGCUUAGAUCUAUGAUUUGGAACCGUUGCAUGUCUCAGAUUUGGUUUGUAUGGGAGGAGGGUUGAAGGGACUCGGCGAGUUCUAUGAAGGUGCUCUUAGACUCGAUGAGUUGGAUGAACAACUCGGCGAGUCCUUUGAAGAUUGCCUAGAACUCGACGAGUUGUUCUUCAAACUCGGCGAGUCAUAUGAACUGUUACUGAGUUAAGAGGGGUUUAAGUGUAGAAGGUCCAACCCUUCGUAGCUGCACGCGGGAUUAGCAAUUUAACAUGUAGCAAUAGUCCCAGAAACCCAAAUCCUCAAGAUGGAUGCUCUGGUGAGGAUUUGGAAGCGAGUAGGAGAUCUGCUCGGGGGACUCGGCGAGUCGGAUCGCGAGUCGGUCUAAUCGUCCCAAGUAGUGAGUUAAGGGUGACUCAGUGAAUGGGAAGAGGGACUUGAUGAGUUAGUAGUAGGAGAGGGACUCGGCGAGUCCAGUCAACUGGAAGUUAACUUUGACCAAGGAGUUGACCUUGGACCAGGGGCAGGUCGGUCAUUUAACCAAAGGGUAUUUAAGAGUGACUAAUCUAUGUUUAUGGAUUUAUAGCCGGAGGAUUGCCGGUGCAACAGUCAGUCGUCUAGCAAGCAGACCUUCAGCAACUACUUUUCGAGGUGAGUUCCCUUCCAGUAGCGGGGGGUCUACAGCCACAAUGUCGGCCCAUCAGUAGGAGUUGUAUGAUUAGAUGAUUGUCUAGGUGAUAUUCAUCUAGGUUUGUUACGACCUGAUAUGUUUACGUGCCAGUAUGAUAUGAUGUUAUGUGCUAGUGACAGUAGGGGAGAUAGUCCCCAGUAUUCGGUCGAGAGGACCGAAGGGGAGACCAACACCCAGAUAUGCUAGUCAGUAUCCGGUCGAGAGGACCGAAGGGGAGACCAGCACCCAGAUAUGCUAGUCAGCAUCCGGUCGAGAGGACCGAAGGGGUAGGUCGGGCACCCAGAUAUGCCUGACAAUAUAUGUAUGUUAUGUGGUUUUAUGGUAUGUGGUACGAUGGGGGAACUCACUAAGUUUCGUGCUUACAGUUUUCAGUUUUGGUUUCAGGUACCUCUUCAUCGAAGGGGAAGGAGCUGGCGCGGUAGCGGCACAUCAUACACACACACUGUUUUCCGCUUUACGUACUUGUUCUGGGAUUUGUACUAUGAUAUUUGGUUGAUUUCAUAUUUUGGUUUCAGACACGAUGUAUGUUAUGAAAUGGCUUGAUCAGACAAUGUUUUAUUUACAAAUGUUUUCCAAAAUGUUGAUUUAAAAACGAAAUUUUUGGACGUGAAAUUUGGGUCGUUACAGACACCUCGUCGGAGAAGAAGAGAGACGAGUAGUUUGAUGGUUCCGAUGUCUGCAACUAGAGUUUUAUCGAGCCACAAACGCCAUCGUCA